rnacentral:rRNA from 1 species
AUUGAACGCUGGCGGCAUGCCUUACACAUGCAAGUCGAACGGCAGCGGGCCUUCGGGUGCCGGCGAGUGGCGAACGGGUGAGUAAUGCAUCGGAACGUGCCAUUGAGUGGGGGAUAACGUAGCGAAAGUUACGCUAAUACCGCAUAUUCUGUGAGCAGGAAAGCAGGGGACCGCAAGGCCUUGCGCUCUUUGAGCGGCCGAUGUCAGAUUAGCUAGUUGGUGAGGUUAAAGGCUUACCAAGGCGACGAUCUGUAGCGGGUCUGAGAGGAUGAUCCGCCACACUGGAACUGAGACACGGUCCAGACUCCUACGGAGGCAGCAGUGGGGAAUUUUGGACAAUGGCGCAAGCCUGAUCCAGCCAUGCCGCGUGAGUGAAGAAGGCCUUCGGG